GCCUGGCUGGCUCAGUCAGUAGAGCAUGUGACUCUUGAUCUCAGGGUCGUGAGUUCAAGCCCCACAUUGGGUG
rnacentral:tRNA from 1 species